CCCAUACCUGAGUCACCCCUCCCCCCGCGGUGACCACAGCCCGAGCCGCCCGGCUCAGCGGCCUCGGGCCCGCAGGCGCGCUAGCUUAAGCUAGGCUAAGCUAACAAUAGCCCCGAGGAUUACCCUGUGAUGAAACGGUGGUUUGGAGAGUAAUUAGGGUAUUUCUAGCGUAUUUACCCCCCCCCCCCCUCCUUUCUUUUUGAUCCACACGGAUUGCUUUUGGAUGGUUUCGACUCGCUGACUCGUGUGCGGUCAGACGCCACGGAUAGCAAAACGUGGGAUUAGCUAACCGGGGUUUGUGUCGUCGCUGGAUUGUUAGCGGUGGUGUGAUUUCUCUUUAAAUGACUUGUGAGCUUCUAUCGCACACACACACACACACACACAAAUAGAAUAACUGAUUCAUACACGGGGCUAAAUAAAGCGGCAAACAUCUGGUUCCAUGUCUUGAAGAUCUGUCGUGUGACUGACGUCGUUUUAACUAAAGAGGUUGUUUCACAAUAACCACAAGUGAUAUUAGCAGAGGAAUGUGAGCUCACACCCAAAUAAACACAUUAACACAUAACUUCUGUUCCUGUAUAAUUGGAGCCAAAUAAUAAAUAAAUGCACAUGUUAAAGUUGGGGUGGCGACUGGUGGCAGACGAGAGGAGAUGUAACAGAAAACACCUGAAAGGUAUAUUUGCUGCUUUCAAUCGGCUUGUCUUUUCUAAAUAACAAUACAGAUAUUAAAUAACUGGUAAUCUGCAUCAAACCUUAACAGCAAAAUAAUGAAGCUUGGAGUCAAUAGCAAAAAAGUGCUUUUGUACUAAUGUUUUGUGCUCUAAACGGUUUAAUCAGGUGGUUCUGUGUUCCAGUACAGGACGCAUUUACAGUGCAGCUGCAGAGAAAAAUAAAUACUAAAUAUUGUUUUCUACGCUUCAUUUUUUCCAAUUUACUUGUACAAUUGUAUACUUUUUGAAUUAUAACAACAUCCUUCAGUGCUAAAAAGAACAUCUGUAUCAAUACAGUCAGGGGUGUUUUUUUAUUUUAUUUUUUUGUAUAGCUUCCUAGGAAUUUCUGGAUGUAGGCCUCUAUGCAUAGAUGUAUUUAAAAAAUCAACACUAUUCCCUAUUGUUCAACAAGAUAUAACAUGUACAAGAUAGUAACAUUUGAACAGCUGGCAAAGACAAAUAAGUCAAUGAUUUUAUCAGCAUUCAGGCUUUGACUGGUGGGACAGAAACUUAACCCAACUCAAAGGAACACCUUUAAUGGUAUCUCACUGGUGUUUAUCAGGGGAUGGAGUUCCCACUGUAGUCACAUGAUACCAGAGCUCCUAUCGCUCUCAGCAUGUAGUUUCUCCAGCGACGUGUUGACCCUCAGCGGCCUUUCUGAGGUAAACUGUUGAAUAACCUGACAUACUUUAAGAGGGCUUUUAUUGUGAAAGGUGAGGACGGGAGCAGUGGCUCCUUUGUUGAAAUAAGAGAAAUAAAGUUGAUAAUCGAGCGCGUGUGUUUGAGGUAUUUGGAGGGUGAAAAAGCCCUUUAAUAUGUGACAAUGGAGUAAGUAAUGAACCCAAGCGAUCACAAUGAUGUCGGCCCAUUUCACAGUAUGACCACAAACCAUCAACCUGAUGAGUUCAGAGGAGAACAAAAACAUCUGUUUGGAAGGAUGGUAACACACGUUAACACACACACACACACACACACACACACACACACACUCAUGGCAGACGUGUGGUCAUGAUGGAAGUCGGUUUGAGGGAUCCAUUCUGUCCGACCAUCCUUCCUCAUCCUCAGCUUUGACUCAGAUCCACCUUGUGUGUGUGUUUGUGCGUGUGCGUGUGCCUGUGUGAGUUUUUGCAUGACAUUUUUAGAAAGUGAGGACAUUUGGUCGCCUCCUCGGCCCUUCAAAGAGCCGCGUGAGGGCGGGCCCUCGGUUACGGGGUCACGGUUUGGUCUGAGGGUUGAAGGGCCGAAGGUAAUGUAGUAUUUUGUCCGCGAGUGUCGCCGCAACUUCAGCGCGAGCGCGUUUUCUCCGUGUGCGGCAGGUCAGAAGAUUCCUUUCUACUUUUUUUCGCUUUGAAGUUUCCAUCGAAACGGUCCCACUUCUCCGCUGCGCACGCACACAAACACAGAUGCAAACACGCGCAGAUGUUGCGAAGGCACUCACUCACCAGGCCGAUCAAAAGACGCGCACACACGCGCGGCAGAUGGCGCACACGCAGGCACACGACGCGAUGUGUGCGUCUGAUAGACAGGGCCCGUGAGCGGGCGCGGAGGAGGAGCUCCGGGUUGUGGGUCGGGUGUUUUGUCGCUGCAGGAUCCUGCAGACACACAAACAUCCCGCGGCAGUAAUUACCCGUCUCCGCCGACGCAGGCGACUGACGGGGGGCCCCUCUCAGCCAAUCACGGGCCGGGGAAAGGGCCCGAUGGGUGUUUCUUUUGGUGAUCACGACAAGGGUCGUCGACCUCACGUUUGAGGCGUUUCAUUUCAAAAUAAAACAGAUCAAAGCAGAGGAUGCAGUGGUUUCCUCCGGCUGUUUUCGUCAUGAUGAAAACAUCGGUGUGACGCUGCAGAAAUCGGAGGAUCGCGAUCGUUUACUGUUACUUAUGUGAGUAUUAAAAAAACGAAUGCUCUGCAGUUUGUAGAUGCCGCUGUGCAAUCCAGGAAGAAUAAAGACAGCAGAAGCCCACGAGGCGGAUGAGGCAGAUGAGGCGGAUGAGCUAAAAUAGAAUAGACUGCAUUUUGUGCCCCGAGUAAAAUGAGAAGUCAACGUUAAAUUAACCGUACUUGACGCAACGUCACAAUUAUUUUAACACAAAGCACAUUUUUUUCCACAACCUAAACACAAGUGAGUUCUUUUUUUUUCUUGAAGGCGUGGCGUGUAAACGCCGGGAAGUAACUGUUGCACCCAGGUACCUAAAGCUCGACCCGCAUCAGAGCGGCACCGAGCGGCGGGCCAGAGAACGAGGGAAGCGGCGAGCUCGACGCCGGAGAGAGUGACCCGCCGACGCCUUUGUUUACCGACGUCAACAGGAAGCGCACGCGGCCCGCAAAGGAAAGGAUUCGUCCCUUUGAAUGUCAAGGCUGUGAGAAAAAGUGGGCUUCAAGCUGCACUGUGUGUGUGUGUGUGUGUGUGUGUGUGUGUGUGUGUGUGUGUGUGUGUCACCGUGUUGUUGCCAUGAGGCACCUGCUGCCUUUCUUUUCAAACCACCAGUAAGGGUCAGAAAGAAGAAAUGAAUACACGGAUGUAAUGUCAUGUGACUUUACGGGUUUAGUGAAAUCCCCCAACGUGUGGGUCUCAGGCCCCCCCCCCGAGAGGGGGUCUGCGAACGGAUGAGCCGGGGGUUCACCUCCAUCCGUUGCACAGGUACAGCUAGAGUAAUGUGUUUCCAUGGGAGGCUGCGUGGCGUAGGAGGCGGAGCCUGGGAGGAGGGAAGCGCCGGGUCGCCGGAGUGAGAAGCAAUGCAACCGUUUCUAAUGUUUCAUGAGCUUUGAUGUGCACACGUGUGCCCAGCCGUGAUCAUACAAAACAGACACACACGCAGAGGAGUUAUGGAUGUAUACACAUGAGCAUGUGUGUGUGUGUGUGUGUGUGUGUGUGUGUGUGUGUGUGUGUGUGUGUGUGUGCACGCUCUGGAAAUAGCUCUGAACAGGAAGUCUAAAUCCAGCCUGGACCAGGAAGAAAAGUGUGUGAGCGGGCCCCCCCAUUCCUGAAAU
ensembl:lncRNA